UACGAAGGGGGCUAGCGUUGCUCGGAAUCACUGGGCGUAAAGCGCACGUAGGCGGCUUUUUAAGUCAGGGGUGAAAUCCUGGAGCUCAACUCCAGAACUGCCUUUGAUACUGGCGAUCUUGAGUCCGGGAGAGGUGAGUGGAACUGCGAGUGUAGAGGUGAAAUUCGUAGAUAUUCGCAAGAACACCAGUGGCGAAGGCGGCUCACUGGCCCGGUACUGACGCUGAGGUGCGAAAGCGUGGGGAGCAAAGCAG
rnacentral:rRNA from 1 species